GUAGUGCCCCGGCAGGUGAGAUCCACGAUCACAAGGGUAGCCUUUCCAGGGCGAAGUUUAUCCGUUGUAUUCCAGAUGGGUUUACCCCUGAGAUUUUCCCCAAAUGCAGGAAACUCUGCUACUACAAAAUUCAUGGUAGUUGGGGACUGUGUUUGCACGUUCCCCAG
ensembl:snRNA U1 U1 spliceosomal RNA